ACGACGCUGGCGGCGUGCUUAACACAUGCAAGUCGAACGGUAAGGCCCUUCGGGGUACACGAGUGGCGAACGGGUGAGUAACACGUGGGUGAUCUGCCCUGCACUUCGGGAUAAGCCUGGGAAACUGGGUCUAAUACCGGAUAGGACUCCUGGCUUCAUGGUUGGGGGUGUAAAGCUUUUGCGGUGUGGGAUGGGCCCGCGGCCUAUCAGCUGUUGGUGGGGUAAUGGCCUACCAAGGCGACGACGGGUAGCCGGCCUGAGACGGGUGACCGGCCACACUGGGACUGAGAUACGGCCCAGACUCCUACGGGAGGCAGCAGUGGGGAAUAUUGCACAAUGGGCGCAAGCCCGAUGCAGCGACGCCGCGUGAGGGAUGACGGCCUUCGGGUUGUAAACCUCUUUCAAUAGGGACGAAGCGCAAGUGACGGUACCUAUAGAAGAAGGACCGGCCAACUACGUG
rnacentral:rRNA from 1 species